CCUCUCCGGACCUGACUGCUAUCGGAUUGAUACUAAGCCAUGCGAGUCAUUGUAGUAAUACAAGGCAGACGGCUCAGUAACGCGUAGUCAACCUAACCUAUGGACGGGAAUAACCUCGGGAAACUGAGUAUAAUGCCCGAUAGAACAUUAUACCUGGAAUGGUUUAUGUUCCAAAUGAUUUAUCGCCGUAGGAUGGGACUGCGGCCUAUCAGUUUGUUGGUGAGGUAAUGGCCCACCAAGACUAUUACAGGUACGGGCUCUGAGAGGAGUAGCCCGGAGAUGGGUACUGAGACACGGACCCAGGCCCUAUGGGGCGCAGCAGGCGAGAAAACUUUGCAAUGUGCGAAAGCACGACAAGGUUAAUCCGAGUGGUUUCUGCUAAAGGAACCUUUUGUCGGUCCUAGAAACACCGAUGAAUAAGGGGUGGGCAAGUUCUGGUGU
rnacentral:rRNA from 1 species